GUGCUCACUUUGGCAGCACAUAUACUAAAAUUGGAAUGAUACAGAGAAGAUUAGCAUGGCCACUGUGCAAGGAUGACAUGCAAAUUCAUGAAGCGUUCCAUAUUUUU
rnacentral:snRNA from 1 species